AUUACUUUUAAAAUAUAAUAUUUUUUCCUUUCUCUUAUAAAUUAAAAAAUAUUUUUUUACUUUUUAUUAUGGAUCAGGAUAUUUUCACUCCAUCUGACAGUUUAUCUUUUUUGGAUGAUUCCCCAUUUGAAAAUUUAAGUCAUUCUCAAUUUGGUGAAGAUUUUCAGGUAAAAUUAUAUUUCAGUUAGCUAAAGUGACUGCCACAUAAAAUCCUGACCCAUAUAUAAAUUAUUCAAAUAAUAUUUUAUAUCGAAUAUUUUACCACAUUUUCAAAUUAUGCAUCAUCAUUUCUUGAUUUAAGAAUUAAGAAAACAUUUUUAUUAAAUUUCAUAAAUAACCUUGGGUUUUAUCAAAAAUUCAAAAAAGUUUUGAUGAUUAUUGUACAUCGAAAUCGAUAUAUGAUUUCGAGGAGGAGGAUAAUAAUGAAUCCAAUCUAAUGUCUGUCAGUAUUCUGAAUGAGUUAAGAAGGAAAUCUUACAUUAUGCCAAAUUUAGACGGAGAAGAAAUCGAAGAAUAUUUAACAGAUCCGGUUGCUCAAACCUCUGUUGAUAUUAUAGAUUUGUGGCUCGAAACGCUAAUCGUUUUCCAAAGCUGUCGACAAUGGCCAAGGAUUACUUAUGCGAACAAACUACGUCCGUAGCAAGCGAACAUAUUUUUUCUCGAGCUGGCGCAACCAUUACUAAGAAGAGGAAUAGGAUGUCAGCCACAACGUUAAAACAAUGCCUAUGUAUAAAUUCAUGGGAUGUUAAUGUUUUAAAUUUGCGUGACUAAUUUUUUGUAUAAUUUGUUAUUUUUCCAUUAUUUGUUAUUUGAUUUAUGCAUAUAAUUUUUAUUUUUUAUUUAUGAAAAUAAUAAAGAUAUGGCAUUA